UACGAAGGGGGCUAGCGUUGUUCGGAAUCACUGGGCGUAAAGCGUGCGCAGGCGGUUAUGUAAGACAGGUGUGAAAUCCCCGGGCUUAACCUGGGAACUGCAUUUGUGACUGCAUAGCUAGAGUACGGUAGAGGGGGAUGGAAUUCCGCGUGUAGCAGUGAAAUGCGUAGAUAUGCGGAGGAACACCGAUGGCGAAGGCAAUCCCCCUGGACCUGUACUGACGCUCAUGCACGAAAGCGUGGGGGAGCAAACAGG
rnacentral:rRNA from 1 species